AAAUACGGUAUAACAAAAUGGCCGCCGUUCCCGUGUUAGGAACUGAUGAGAAUCCUGGCCCCCAGAAUCCUGAGACUAAAGCAAAAACCAAUCUAAUCGUAAACUACCUUCCCCAGACCCUAACGGAAGAGGGACUGAAGCAGCUAUUCUCCCAGUUCGGGGUCGUGUUGAGUUGUAAAUUAAUAAAAGACAAAUCCUCUGGUAUUUCCUUAGGGUAUGGGUUUGUUAAUUACGGGUCAGCCGAAGAGGCUGAACACGCCAUUCAAAAGAUGAACGGUACAACACUAGAAAGCAAAACACUGAAAGUGAGCUAUGCCCGUCCUUCUUCAGUUGCCAUUAAAAAUGCCAACGUCUACGUGGCUAACCUCCCCCCACAACUCUCCCUCACUGAACUAGACGCUCUAUUCCAGCCGUACGGUACUAUCAUAACCUCUAAGGUACUUACUGAUGAGGACACAGGUGCUGGCCGAGGAGUUGGGUUCGUCCGAUUCGAUAAAUACACUCAAGCUGAGGUUGCCAUAGCAGCUCUAAACGGCAAACAACUAGUGGGCGGGACACAGCCUUUACUCGUUAAAUUUGCAAACCCACCGAAAGCAGCCACGCCCCUAACAGGGACAGUCCCGGGCGGACUAGCUAAUCAAAUAAUGACACAAACUCAGAAACGUUUAAACAACAAUGGCUCCAGCUCCAGUGCGGCCUCUUCCAUGAGUUAUACUAGUACUAAUGGAGGGAGCGUGGGCCCAAUGAGACACAUUCCAACUGUCAGCAACAUGAGGUAUAAUCCUGUCUCUAGUCUACCUACCGCCGGCCUACCCACUGCUGCUGGUAUGGUCAACCCUGCGGCAAUGGCCGCCCUCACUGGAAUGACAACUGGCGUACCUAAUCUGGCCAAUCUGGCACCUGUUGCCGGUGGUAACGGUUCCACUAUGACAUCACCAGGUGACCCCAGUUACUGUGUCUUUGUCUAUAAUCUUCCUGAGACCUGUCAAGACUUCCUGCUAUACCAGCUGUUCAGUCCGUUUGGUGCCAUUACUAGUGUGAAUGUGAUCCGUGAUCUUAAAUCAGGUCUGUGUAAGAGGUACGGGUUUGUUAACAUGAAGAGUUAUGAAGAUGCCUGCAGUGCCAUAAUGACUCUUAAUGGCUACGUCCAUGAUGGGAAGACACUCCAGGUCUCCUUUAAGAAUCAGAAGAAGUAGAUUAAUGAUGACUGCAAGAGAGAAGGCUUCGUUCUUCAGCUGUUGUGUAUAAUAUUAUAAUGUGUUUGGUCAGUUUACAAUGGAGACUGUGUUAGGAGCUGCUUUUGGUUCUCAAGUUAAUGUAUUAAAAGGAGAGGGAGACUCACUCACCGAAUUGAAGAAAAGGCACUGUUUAUUUUUUAAUAACUAUUAAUAAUAAAAUUUAUAAGCAGCCACGCCCACGAAUUGUCUGCAAAUUACUGAAAUUAGUUCAAAACAAAA
rnacentral:misc_RNA from 1 species